ACUUAAAUUGAAGAGUUUGAUCAUGGCUCAGAUUGAACGCUGGCGGCAGGCCUAACACAUGCAAGUCGAGCGGUAGCACAGAGAGCUUGCUCUCGGGUGACGAGCGGCGGACGGGUGAGUAAUGUCUGGGAAACUGCCUGAUGGAGGGGGAUAACUACUGGAAACGGUAGCUAAUACCGCAUAACGUCGCAAGACCAAAGAGGGGGACCUUCGGGCCUCUUGCCAUCAGAUGUGCCCAGAUGGGAUUAGCUAGUAGGUGGGGUAACGGCUCACCUAGGCGACGAUCCCUAGCUGGUCUGAGAGGAUGACCAGCCACACUGGAACUGAGACACGGUCCAGACUCCUACGGGAGGCAGCAGUGGGGAAUAUUGCACAAUGGGCGCAAGCCUGAUGCAGCCAUGCCGCGUGUAUGAAGAAGGCCUUCGGGUUGUAAAGUACUUUCAGCGGGGAGGAAGGUGUUGAGGUUAAUAACCUCAGCAAUUGACGUUACCCGCAGAAGAAGCACCGGCUAACUCCGUGCCAGCAGCCGCGGUAAUACGGAGGGUGCAAGCGUUAAUCGGAAUUACUGGGCGUAAAGCGCACGCAGGCGGUCUGUCAAGUCGGAUGUGAAAUCCCCGGGCUCAACCUGGGAACUGCAUUCGAAACUGGCAGGCUAGAGUCUUGUAGAGGGGGGUAGAAUUCCAGGUGUAGCGGUGAAAUGCGUAGAGAUCUGGAGGAAUACCGGUGGCGAAGGCGGCCCCCUGGACAAAGACUGACGCUCAGGUGCGAAAGCGUGGGGAGCAAACAGGAUUAGAUACCCUGGUAGUCCACGCCGUAAACGAUGUCGACUUGGAGGUUGUGCCCUUGAGGCGUGGCUUCCGGAGCUAACGCGUUAAGUCGACCGCCUGGGGAGUACGGCCGCAAGGUUAAAACUCAAAUGAAUUGACGGGGGCCCGCACAAGCGGUGGAGCAUGUGGUUUAAUUCGAUGCAACGCGAAGAACCUUACCUACUCUUGACAUCCAGAGAACUUAGCAGAGAUGCUUUGGUGCCUUCGGGAACUCUGAGACAGGUGCUGCAUGGCUGUCGUCAGCUCGUGUUGUGAAAUGUUGGGUUAAGUCCCGCAACGAGCGCAACCCUUAUCCUUUGUUGCCAGCGGUCCGGCCGGGAACUCAAAGGAGACUGCCAGUGAUAAACUGGAGGAAGGUGGGGAUGACGUCAAGUCAUCAUGGCCCUUACGAGUAGGGCUACACACGUGCUACAAUGGCGCAUACAAAGAGAAGCGACCUCGCGAGAGCAAGCGGACCUCAUAAAGUGCGUCGUAGUCCGGAUUGGAGUCUGCAACUCGACUCCAUGAAGUCGGAAUCGCUAGUAAUCGUAGAUCAGAAUGCUACGGUGAAUACGUUCCCGGGCCUUGUACACACCGCCCGUCACACCAUGGGAGUGGGUUGCAAAAGAAGUAGGUAGCUUAACCUUCGGGAGGGCGCUUACCACUUUGUGAUUCAUGACUGGGGUGAAGUCGUAACAAGGUAACCGUAGGGGAACCUGCGGUUGGAUCACCUCCUUACCUUAAAGAA
rnacentral:rRNA from 1 species